GGCAGUUGUAGCUCAGUGGGUAAGACGUUGCACUAUCGAUCGGAAGGUCGUGAGUCCAAAUCCCAGCACUGCCA